UUAAAUUGAAGAGUUUGAUCAUGGCUCAGAUUGAACGCUGGCGGCAGGCCUAACACAUGCAAGUCGAACGGUAACAGGAAGCAGCUUGCUGCUUCGCUGACGAGUGGCGGACGGGUGAGUAAUGUCUGGGAAACUGCCUGAUGGAGGGGGAUAACUACUGGAAACGGUGGCUAAUACCGCAUAACGUCGCAAGACCAAAGAGGGGGACCUUCGGGCCUCUUGCCAUCAGAUGUGCCCAGAUGGGAUUAGCUUGUUGGUGAGGUAACGGCUCACCAAGGCGACGAUCCCUAGCUGGUCUGAGAGGAUGACCAGCCACACUGGAACUGAGACACGGUCCAGACUCCUACGGGAGGCAGCAGUGGGGAAUAUUGCACAAUGGGCGCAAGCCUGAUGCAGCCAUGCCGCGUGUAUGAAGAAGGCCUUCGGGUUGUAAAGUACUUUCAGCGGGGAGGAAGGUGUUGUGGUUAAUAACCACAGCAAUUGACGUUACCCGCAGAAGAAGCACCGGCUAACUCCGUGCCAGCAGCCGCGGUAAUACGGAGGGUGCAAGCGUUAAUCGGAAUUACUGGGCGUAAAGCGCACGCAGGCGGUCUGUCAAGUCGGAUGUGAAAUCCCCGGGCUCAACCUGGGAACUGCAUUCGAAACUGGCAGGCUUGAGUCUUGUAGAGGGGGGUAGAAUUCCAGGUGUAGCGGUGAAAUGCGUAGAGAUCUGGAGGAAUACCGGUGGCGAAGGCGGCCCCCUGGACAAAGACUGACGCUCAGGUGCGAAAGCGUGGGGAGCAAACAGGAUUAGAUACCCUGGUAGUCCACGCCGUAAACGAUGUCUACUUGGAGGUUGUGCCCUUGAGGCGUGGCUUCCGGAGCUAACGCGUUAAGUAGACCGCCUGGGGAGUACGGCCGCAAGGUUAAAACUCAAAUGAAUUGACGGGGGCCCGCACAAGCGGUGGAGCAUGUGGUUUAAUUCGAUGCAACGCGAAGAACCUUACCUGGUCUUGACAUCCACGGAAGUUUUCAGAGAUGAGAAUGUGCCUUCGGGAACCGUGAGACAGGUGCUGCAUGGCUGUCGUCAGCUCGUGUUGUGAAAUGUUGGGUUAAGUCCCGCAACGAGCGCAACCCUUAUCCUUUGUUGCCAGCGGUUAGGCCGGGAACUCAAAGGAGACUGCCAGUGAUAAACUGGAGGAAGGUGGGGAUGACGUCAAGUCAUCAUGGCCCUUACGACCAGGGCUACACACGUGCUACAAUGGCGCAUACAAAGAGAAGCGACCUCGCGAGAGCAAGCGGACCUCAUAAAGUGCGUCGUAGUCCGGAUUGGAGUCUGCAACUCGACUCCAUGAAGUCGGAAUCGCUAGUAAUCGUGGAUCAGAAUGCCACGGUGAAUACGUUCCCGGGCCUUGUACACACCGCCCGUCACACCAUGGGAGUGGGUUGCAAAAGAAGUAGGUAGCUUAACCUUCGGGAGGGCGCUUACCACUUUGUGAUUCAUGACUGGGGUGAAGUCGUAACAAGGUAACCGUAGGGGAACCUGCGGUUGGAUCACCUCCUUACCUGAAAGAAGC
rnacentral:rRNA from 1 species